rnacentral:rRNA from 1 species
CUACGUGCCAGCAGCCGCGGUAAUACGUAGGGUGCGAGCGUUAAUCGGAAUUACUGGGCGUAAAGCGAGCGCAGACGGUUACUUAAGCAGGAUGUGAAAUCCCCGGGCUCAACCUGGGAACUGCGUUCUGAACUGGGUGACUAGAGUGUGUCAGAGGGAGGUAGAAUUCCACGUGUAGCAGUGAAAUGCGUAGAGAUGUGGAGGAAUACCGAUGGCGAAGGCAGCCUCCUGGGAUAACACUGACGUUCAUGCUCGAAAGCGUGGGUAGCAAACAGGAUUAGAUACCCUGGUAGUCCACGCCCUAAACGAUGUCAAUUAGCUGUUGGGCAACUUGAUUGCUUAGUAGCGUAGCUAACGCGUGAAAUUGACCGCCUGGGGAGUACGGUCGCAAGAUUAAAACUCAAAGGAAUUGACGGGGACCCGCACAAGCGGUGGAUGAUGGGAUUAAUUCGAUGCAACGCGAAGAACCUUACCUGGUCUUGACAU